rnacentral:ncRNA from 1 species
AGGGAGUAAGCCGAAAAUCCCAAUCAAGAGUAGGCA